ACAGACAACGCUGAUGAGGAUGCCUUGACAAAAUUGUUUGGUAACCCAAAAUCUGGUCAUUUAAUCGGAUAAGGAAGAGGCGUAACAAGGUCAAAGCUAACUAUUGUUAAUAUGUGUAAUAGCAAAAUCUCCAAGUUAGAAGAAGAGCAACAUAAUAUGAAGCUCAAAAUGACUGAAAUGAUGAAUCUACUUAAAGAACACUUGGUUGGUGGUAAAGUGACACCAAGCAAAGGACAGUCUCGCAAUGUACCGCAGUCAAACAAUAUUCAGUCCCCUAAGAGUAUUGCACUAGAAAAAAAACAUAACUUUACAGAAAGGGAAGAAUGCUUGCUACUUGCUUGACUGGGCAGAUGUAAUUGUUGCUGAAGGUCGUUGGGAUUCUAGUGAUCCAAAGAUAACUGUACAUGGAAAGCCUCUUGGACUAGACUUUAUGCGAGUAUGGGUUGAUGUUGAUAUUGUACCAGAAUCUUACUUAUUUCGUCCUAAUCAUGCGAUGCUUACAAUACAAGAAGCAGU